rnacentral:rRNA from 1 species
UUUAAUUAAAUAAAUUUAAUAUUUGAGAUAUUUAAAAUAUUGUAAUUAUUUAAAAUUAUAUAAUUUUUUUUUGUUUAAGUAAUAGAUUAUGAAUAAAUAUUUAGAUUAAUAGAUAAAGUAAUGUAAAUGAAUUUUUUUAAAAAUUAAAUAAGUAAAAUAAUUUUUGUACCUUUUGUAUCAGGGUUAAUUAAUAUAAUUUAUAAAUUUAAUAAUCUCGAAAAAAGAAGAGCUAAAUAUUUAAUUAUGCUUUUGUGGAAUAAAAAGUUAUAAUAUUUAUUUAGAAAUUAAAUGUUAUUCGAAUUUUUUUAUAUCUAGUUUUUUUUGAAAUAAAUUUAAUUUAUAUAUAAAAAAAUUAAAAAAUUAUAUUUAAAAAAUUUUUUAUGUUUUUAUAUAAAAAAUUUAUGGGAUAAUCUAUAAAUUUAUAAUAUAUAAUUUUUAUUAUUUAAUAUUAAUAAUGUUAAUUUAAUAAUGAUUUUUAUUAAUAAGUAUUUAAUAAUUUAAUAUGAUUUAGAAUUUUAAAGAUUUUGAAUAUAGAUUAUUAAUAAUUGAAAAAUAUAUAUUUUUUAAAAAAAAAUAAUUUUUAAUUAAAUUAAAUUAAAUAUAAUGAUUAAAUUAGUAAUUAAUUUAUAAUGUAUAAAUUUAAAAUUUAAUUUUUAAAUAUAAUAUAUAUUUAUAUAUAUAUAAGGAAUUCAGCAAAUUAAAUAUGUCCACCUGUUUAUCAAAAACAUGGCUUAUUGAAUAAUAAUUUUAAGUCAAUUCUGCCCAAUGAUUAAAAAAUUAAAUGGCUGCAGUAUAAUUGACUGUACAAAGGUAGCAUAAUCAAUUGUUUUUUAAUUAAGAACUGGAAUGAAAGAGUUAAUGAGAUAUAUACUGUCUCAUAUAUAUUUAAUGAAUUUAAAUUUUUAGUUAAAAUGCUAAAAUUAAUUUAUGGGACGAUAAGACCCUAUAGAAUUUAAUAUUAAUAUAUUGAUUAUAAUUUAAUUAUUAAAUAUUAAUAUUUUAUUGGGAGGAUAAGUAAAUUUAUUAAACUUUAUUUUAAAUAUUAACUUUAAUUUAAGAAUAAAUAUUUUUGAUCUUAUAAUAAAAAUUAAAAGAAUAAAUUACCUUAGGGAUAACAGCGUAAUAUCUUUUUAAAGAUCAUAUUGAAAAAGAUGAUUGCGACCUCGAUGUUGAAUUAAGAUAAAUUUUAAAUGAAGAAAUUUAAUAAUUAAGUCUGUUCGACUUUUAAAAUCUUACAUGAUUUGAGUUCAAAUCGACGUGAGUCAGAUUGGUUUCUAUCUAUAAAAAUAAAAUAAAUUAUUUGUACGAAAGGACUAUAAUUUAUAAUUAAAUUAUAAAUAUUUAUAAAUAAAUAUAUUUAAUAAAAUUAUAUUAGCAUAUUUAGUGCAUUAAAUUUAGAAUU